rnacentral:lncRNA from 1 species
GCCAAAAAACCCAAAAUGAAACAAAAAAGUUCACAAAAACACGGAUUUUAUUUUGUGUUGGUUAAUUACUUCUGGGCAUGGAGUCUGGUUGCUAUAUCAGUGACGCCUUAUUGGAGGAAAAUAAAUUUUACUGUUUCAGUGGGUAUCAAUUGCAAAUAGCUCUUGAUUAUGGAUCAGGUUCAUGUCCACUUCCAUCUCGCAGUGCUGGGACUUCAUCUGGCUUGAUAUUCUGCAGGUCUUUUGCAUAAUGGCACAGUCUCUGUGAGUUUCUAUGCACACCAAUCCUUAUAUGUCUGGAAGCGUUCUUUGUGUUAUCCAUCUGGUCUGGCUUUUACAGUCUUUCAGCUUUCUGUUUUUAUACGCCCUUGAGCCUUGAGGAGAGGGCUUUGAUGGAGACAUCCUACUAAAGACUGAGUGCUCCAAAAACUUGGACCCUUUGCAUGUUGUCCAGUUGUGGAUCUCUGUGUUAACUCUCAAGUCAAGAAGACGCUUUUCUGAUGAGAGUUGAACAAGCCACUCACCUAUGGGUUAUAUGUCACUAGGAGUAAUUUUAUUACCAUGUUCCUUUAUAGUAAUAAUAAAUAAUAAUAACAACAACAACAACAUCUUUCCCCCUAGACUUUGUCUCAGGUUUUUGGCCACUUUAGCGGUAUUAAAUAUGUUUUCUUCUCCUAAAAUGGGCAUUAAACUCAAUUAAAAAAAAGUGGCUGGCUACUUCCAUAACAUUUGUAAUAGAACUGCACCAGUAUCUUCAGGAAAAUUGCUUUUAUAGGUUGCAGGGUUUGUUUAUAGGUGAUAUUGAUGAUUGCCUUUAUCUGAUAGUGUACAGAGUACCUUUCAGAACCAUGAAUGGUAGUUAAUCGGCGUUGAGCUUCUAGUUAGGCACCAGCUCUUAUUUUCUGUUUUUGAUAACAUAAGUGACUGUUGUCUUCUGCUGUAGCACCUUAUCAUCGGGUUUUGGAGAACGAUCAAUAGCCUCGGUUCCAUUUGUGUAGUUCCAUGGGACCCUUUGGCCAAUAACUUAAAAAAUAUAACCCAGUCCUGGCACCAGGGGUUGUGCUUGGUGGGGUAUCUAGCCACGUUUUGACUCCAUUUAGUUUCCUUUCCUGUAUGUAUGCAUUUUAAGAAGCUAGCACAGUAGUAGUUUCCCAUAAAUUUUUCAAAUGGCCUUUAAUGUUUGUCAAUCCUCCAUAUGCUACCUUCUUUACUCUCCUCUUUCGUUUCCCACUUAUUUAAUCCUCUUAUUCUGGUUUCCCAUUUAUCUCUCCAUGACAAUAUAUCUUAUUUCCCAUUCCUUGGGACAUCCCUUCCUUCCCACAUGGUCCCUUGCUACUUGUCUAAUUCUGUGGAUAUUUGGAUUAUAGCAUGCAAAUUGAAAACUUAAAAGCUGCAUCCAUAUGUAAGGCAGAAUAUAAUCUAUUUGCCUUUUGGGGUCUAGUUUAGCUUACUUGGGAUGAUUCAGAUUUUUUAGUUCCAUCCGUUUACCUUCAAAUACUGUAAUUUCAUUUUUCUCAAUGGCUGAGUAAUAGUCCAUUGUGUAAAUGUACCACAUUUUCAGUAUCCAUUUCUCAGUUCAUCAAUUCAGUCAUAGUGAGACUGUUUAAAAAUAUCUUUAAUUUAACAUAACAUGGGGUGGACUGUCGUGAUUGCCAUAAAGCAUGGCGUACAAGCAAAUUCCCCGAAACCCGGUGGAAAAGGUUCUAGUACUUUUAUUUAUUCAUAAACAGC